UUUUAAUAAGUAAUUUUGUAAUGAAUUUAUGUCCUUCUCAAUUGGGGUAGAGUUGUAGACUCUUUCCUUCUCUACAAUUUAUUAGACAAGUCAUUAUAAAGAUCGUUUUCCUGAUUGCCAUAGAUAGUUGUUUCUCAGUGUGCAUAGAAAGCUCUUGCUUGAAACUGAUCUCUAUUCUCAGAAAUUUUUCAUUUGCCAAGUAGUGGAGUUUGGUCAAGUAAUACUUUCAUGCCAGUCCUUCGUUUCUCUUAAUUACAACAUACAGCUACAAAAAAGUUAAGGCUGCAGAGAAAGGUAAAAUUGAGGUAAGCUUAUAGCUCGACCUCCUUUUCAGUGUUUUUCUUUGCAGGGAGGAGAAGGGGAAGAUUUAGUUAUUGCUGGCAGCACAGACCUGAAGAUCAAGCUUACACAAUCUGUUGAAAAGCAGUAGUAUAUGCUGUUACAGAGGACUGCCUAUCAAAAUGGCUUUAUUCACAGGACUACUGCAUGAGUUCCUGCGUGAUGCAUUGGCAACAAUGCUGGAGUUCUUCAUUCUUUCUUCAUCUGCACAAGAAAGGCAGUCCUUUAGGUUCUUGAUCCUCAGGAAACCUUUUUCUGAUGACCUUUCUAGUUCUCCUAGUUGGAAGUUCCUAUAAUUGGGGAAAUAUGCAAUAUAUCUGAGAGAAUUUUGAUGGAAAAAGCAGGGCUCCAGCUCUUAAUGGCCAAAACAGUGAUACUAAUGCCAAUAAGAACAAGCUAUAAGUUUUCUUGAGUGUGUAUAUACAAACUUUUUCUGGUCCUGAUCACAUGGUAAGGACAGGCCUCAGAGGAAACCUGUUCUUUGUGUGGUAGUGAGAUGUGAAUGUACCUUCACACUACUAAAAGUAAGAAACAAGAGAAUAUUCAGCUUCACUGUUUGUUUUUUUCCCCCAUGUAAAUUUAAAAGGCACAAGACAACCGUUUGUUUUUUUUUCCCCAUGUAAAUUUAAAAGGCACAAGACAACCUUUGGUUACAGCAGCUGCUAAAAUGUAUCAUCAAGUCCUGUGUUGAGAUGAAACUUUUGUCUAUGUAAACCAGAUGUGAAAUGUCUUCAGUUUAUUUUGUUAAUGAAGUCUAUAAAGUACCACCUUUUUAAAAAGUCCAGUAUGAUACAAGUCAAUCCCUAAGUUGUGGACUAGAAAGUUCUGAAGGCAAGAUCUCAGCAACACUAUUGUUUCACAUUUGCAAAUAAUGCCAAAAUAGUUCCUGGCACCAGAGAGGGAAUUUAGCUCAUUACCCAACCCUGCUCAGGGUUUCUGAGGUAGGUAGUUCUAUGCAUGUUCAAUGACUAAUAAUGAAAUACCAAUCACUUUAAAUAUAUUAGAUAGUGAAAAGCUUCUAGGGAGAAGAGUAUUGCUGCUGAGGGUAAGGUUGCAAAGAUUGAGAGAACUGUCCCAUUUAUGAGCCAGCUAUCUAAAAUCAGAAAACCUCUUGCAUUUUCUGUUGUAGUAGUCAUGAUUUUUUUGGCGAAUAAGUACUUUGGGAAAUAUACCUUAUGUUUUUAAAAAUUUAGACCUUAAUCUACUCAGAGAUUCUAAUUAGCACUACUUAGUAGUGGGUUAUAAUAGUUAAUGACAAUUUUAUUAAGUCUCAAAAUGUAUUCUUAAAUGCAAUGGGAAGCACUGUGUAGAUUGCAUCAAAAAUUGCAUUAAAAAUAUUGCCAAUUCAAUUUCUGGACCCAAAUUCCGAUCUGGCUGUUUGAGAAUGAUGGGCUGAGUAGGCUGCAGGUAUCUUGUCUAAAAUCAUAGAAGUAAUUUGAAACUGAACAGGUGUCUUUAGAUACUAAAAAUUUCUGUCCUUUGGAUUUGAUAGCUUACAUGGUCAUGCAGAAAUUUGAGUCUUCUAAUAGAUUUUGAAGGGUGGGUUUAUGUAAUAUUGUGCAGGUAUUGCUAAGUCUGUCUUGGUAAUGGUUUCUUUCGAAGAAUGAAAAAGGCAUCUUGUUCCAUCUGCCAGAUAGAAAAUAACUAGCCAAAAAUAAACUUAGUCCAAAGACUUUUUCCUGUGCAAUUCCUUUCUUUUUUUCCUGAGAGCCUGAUCUUGUUUUUUCUUUCAACAGUGUUUCGUUGGUAUCAGUUUUAUUAGGAAAACCCAGUACUGCACACUGAAAGCAGUUUUAAGGGAAUAUGUUCACCUCUGUAGCAGUGGUUUGACACCACUGGAAGAUGCAAUAUGGGAAGGGUCAAAGCAUGCUGUUCAUUAAACUGAAUUUCAGUUAAUACUGGAUUUUGCUGCAGAGGCAGGUGCAUGUGACACUGACACAGGCCAUAAGCUGCCAUGUUUAUGAAAUCAUAACAGAGUGGGCAUUACUAUGAGAGAGAAAGGGAAGGCUUUUUCCCUCCUACUCAGCUGUCAUCUUGGCAGAAAGCAUUAAAGAACUUGUGCUUCUGCUUGUUCUGCAAAUAAAUGUGGGACUUCAGGCUACAGAGCAUUGAAUUUGCUCAGAUUGUCACUCUCAGACUCAAAAAGAGUUAACCAGUACUAGGAGUAGCAAAAAUCUCUUCACAUAGUGGGAACUACAGUUCGUUUUUCAGAGCUGCAGAAAAUGCACUAUGGUGUGUGUAAAUGAAUACAUUAUGUAGCCUUCCAUCUUUAAUACACCUGGUUUGGGUUCUAGAAAAUUGAUUGUACUUCUAAAAGCUUAGUUUUUCGUUUUCUAGUGGGGAAUUCUGCUUUAAAGUACAUAGUAUUUCAGUUUCCUUGGUUCUCUGGUAUCUUCUUUGUACGCAUAGUCAUUCCAGGCUGUGUAGCACUUGCCACUUCUGAAUGCUUGCCACUCUUCAGAUUUAAAACUAUUACUGGAGCAACCUGAUUUGGUAUUAAGCUACAGCUCCUAUUGAACAACUUGCCAACUGCUAACACAGGUGUUGAGUGGUAUUUGUAUUUACUUGAAUGUAUGCUUAUAUUAAUGUAAAGAAUUUUAGGAUGGAGAGAGCUUCACAAUAACAACUGGGAGCAUUUUGGUUUGCUUUUCUGGGGCUGGAGCAGUGGUGUAUAUCACUAAGUUACCAAGUAAGAUGGCUUUAAGUCUAAUGCCUAGCUAAGUUCUAAAUUUUGAACCUGUUAAAAGUACUGUGACAAUUUGUUACAGCUGAGGGAGGAUGAACUUAGUUGCUGUGAAAUAGAAUCAAGUGGCUCAUAAACCACAGGAUGUCAACGAUUAGUGUAAUUAAUAGAAGCUUUACAGCAAAAAAUCAUAAAGCCUGGAACACCUUUGACUAAUGGACCACUUAACUUUGGCUUAAAGUGUUUUACCGUAACAUCUGAAGUGACACUACCUCUGCAGUUAGCCUGGGUGGUGACGUUAGAGAGAAUUUUGUGCAAAACCAUCCUGAAGGUAGCAGAUGACGUGUCACACAUCCUUUUAAUUGUGAAGAUGUUUGAUAAAAGGUUAUCUGGUAAAGAGCAUCUUUUCUGAGUGUGGAUUGUUGCCUUCUCUGAAUGGAAAAAGGAGGUAUGAGGAAACGGCUGAAAUGAAAUUAGUAGCGUUUAAGUAAUGUGUGAUGCAAUGUGCUCACAUGCAUGCACAGGCCUGCAGUGCCUUUAAUUUAAUCUCAUCCCAACCACGAGGUCCUACAUGUCUGCUUGUCUCAUACAAAUAAAAAAAUACUAUAGGCAGAAUGAAGGACUAUAAGAAGGCAUAUCACGAUAUAUGUUUGUAGUGAGUUACCUGUCCUUAUGUCCCCUUGUAUAAGCAUAUAACUCCAUAUUAUGUAACAUAUCACAGGGAAGGGCAUUGUUCUGCUCUAGGUGAGGAACCAUUGUACCUUUUAGCACCUCUUUCAGAUGUCUUCUAUCGUGCCCUAUUUUGUUGAGAUGAGUUGCACUGCCCAUAGAUCUAUUCUUGAAUCCUUCUAGGGGAUUUAAAAGGUUUAAUAUUGUACUGUUUCUGCAAAGGUGACUUUGAUAUUAAAGUUUUUUAAAAGAUUCCUAUAGUACCUGUUAUAUAGAUAAUUGUUGAUUUUUAAAGUGUCUCUGCUGUCUCUUGGAUUUUAGUAGUGUGCUUCUGUGAGUUUUUAAGUCAUCCUCAUGAACACAUUGUCACAUCCUUACCCGUGGAGAGAGAAAAAGAGAUUAUAAAAUAGUUUCAUAAAUUGAUUUAUUUCAUAAAUUAAUUUGUCUUUUAGAUUUUUUUUUUUCCAACAGGUACUUAUAGUUCUGAUUUAACAUAGCUUAAACGUAAUCUAUUUGAUUUGUUGUUAAGUUACCAAGUAGCAGUAACGACUUCAUAUCUGAAAAGCACAUGAACACAGUUUUACUGAACCGCCGGGAAAUCUGAGAUGCCCUUGAAGGACAUGCUUCCUUCUACCUUUUUAAUAAGCAAUGUCUCAAUUUAUUUCAAGGUGAAAUAAAUCGGCAGCUCUAAUGCUAGUACAAGCAGAACCUCGUUUCAUUUUUACAUGAAG
ensembl:lncRNA